UAUGAGCCCCGAUGGAAGGGAAAAUCCUUUUUUGUCUCGUCUUUAGGGACGGGACGAAAAAGAUUGGACUGACAGCGGGAAUCCAU
rnacentral:snRNA from 1 species